AACUACACAUAAGAGGUCCUGCCUGCCCUGUGACCCCUGGUUCAACGGCCGCGGUAUUUUGACCGUGCAAAGGUAGCGCAAUCACUUGUCUCUUAAAUGAGGACCUGUAUGAAUGGCACAACGAGGGCUUAACUGUCUCCUUUCCCUGGUCAGUGAAAUUGAUCUUCCCGUGCAGAAGCGGGAAUCCUAACAUAAGACGAGAAGACCCUAUGGAGCUUUAGACUUCAGAACAGAUCAUGUAAGCUACCCCCAUGAAAUGGGUAAUAACUAUUGAACUCCUGUUCCCCUGUCUUUGGUUGGGGCGACCACGGGGAAGAAAAAAACCCCCAUGUGGACCAGGAGCACACUACUCCUACAACCAUGAGCCACAGCUCUAAUGCACAAAAUCUUUGACCAUUAGAUCCGGCAAAGCCGAUCAACGGACCAAGUUACCCUAGGGAUAACAGCGCAAUCCCCUUUAAGAGUCCAUAUCGACAAGGGGGUUUACGACCUCGAUGUUGGAUCAAGACAUCCUAAUGGUGCAGCCGCUAUUCAGGGUUCGUUUGUUCAACGAUUAAAGUCUU
rnacentral:rRNA from 1 species